rnacentral:lncRNA from 1 species
GAAUGCGGAGCGCAUUCGUUUAGGCAAAGUUGUUGAAAGCCUGCAGGCAGAGGUUCAGGCCCGGGAGGUCGCGGUUACGGACCUUACUGCCCGCGUGUCUGCUGCGGAGAAGCGGGCUGACGCUGCUGCUGAGGCCAAGGAUGCCUUGGUGUCCUCUUUUAACCAGCUGGAAGCUGACCGUGAGUGGUUGCGGACUCACGGCAUCGCGCGUAUUGUCGAGGCUAUCAUGA